GGAGAGAUGGCCGAGCGGUUUAAGGCGGCGGUCUUGAAAACCGUUGAUGGCAAAACCAUCCGGGGGUUCGAAUCCCUCUCUCUCCGCCA
rnacentral:tRNA from 1 species